rnacentral:rRNA from 1 species
CCUACGGGAGGCAGCAGUGGGGAAUAUUGCACAAUGGUGGACACCCUGAUGCAGCGACGUCGCGUGAACGACGAAGUAUUUCGGUGUGUAAAGCUCUAUCAGCAAGGAAGACAAUGACGGUACCUGAGUAAUAAGCUCCGGAUAAAUACGUGCAAGAAGCCGCGAUAAUACGUAGGGAGCAAGCGUUAUCCGGAUUUACUGGGCGUAAGGGUAGCGUAGGCGGCCUGUAAAGGCUGAUGUGAAAUACCGGGGCUCAACCGCGGGGCUGCAUUGGAAACUGGCAGGCUGGAGUGCAGGCGAUGCAGGCGGAAUUCCUAGUGUAGCGGUGAAAUGCGUAGAUAUUAGGAGGAACACCAGUGGCGAAGGCGGCUUGCUGGACGGUGACUGACGCUGAGGCUCGAAAGCGUGGGGAGCAAACAGGAUUAGAUACCCCAGUAGUC